GCUCCUGAACCACAUGGCACGUGCACAGGCCAGGCUCUCAGUCAGUUGUACAAGAAAACUGCUCGACACCCUACCUUCUCAGACAGGUCAUGAGAAUAAACACACACCAACAACAGAUCCUGGACCACAUACUGUCUGGACAAGUACUAGUCAGAGCAUGUUUUCAACCUUCCAGGCCUGCAUUUGAGUUGAAGAAUGAAAGAAAAAUCUCAGCUGAACUUAGAAGAGGAGCAUAAAUCACUCUUGCAUCCAAGACAAUUGUUUUGUUUCUUUAACUGCACAAAUAUUUCAUAUCAUUUUAGGACAUUACUAUAUUGCUUAGAAGCCCUCUUGAACCUGGGAAUAUGAAUUCCUCAACUAAAAAACAAGGGUAGUUUGUACAACGGAGUUACAACAGCGUGAAAAUUGAAACAGACUUUAACUGUAAAGUCUCUGCUUACCAGAAGCGAGAGACUGGUACAUAGUAAGCCCUCUUUCAUUUACUCGCUGCAGAAGCAAAGCAUUCCCUCAUUUCACCCACUCCUUGAGCCAAUGAUGCCCCCAUUCCUUGAGCUGGUAGUUUCACUGACAGCUCCUCCUACAGCUAUACAGAAGACAAGAACACUUCGUAAUUAUUACCUAUAGUUCACACUUCAGGAUUUAUUCCCUCCACCUCCUAGAAAAUACUGUGUUUUUUAACCUUCUAAAUAAACUUUGUAAAUUAUGUGCAACAGUUCCUCUCUCACCACCCUUCUCUCAUCAUGUAUUUCAAAUUUUUGAUUUGCCUUAGCUAGGGUUUAAUGCGAUGGUUUUCUCCUGAACAGUGAGGCUGAGAGCAAAACUAGGUCCCUAUCCUCUCCCCUUCCAGAAAAAAAAGUUUGUUGUUUUUUUGUUUUGUUUUUUAAACUACUGAGGGGGAAUGAUCCUUGCAUGCAGUGCUAAUACAAGGGUCUCUCAACAUAUCUGUCAAUUUUCCAGCAUUCUGUGUUAUCCUCCUCCUUCCACAUCAGGCCAGUAAAAUACACACUCUGCGAACUGCUCCGUCACAUGCAAACAAUUUAACAGGAAAAUGCUCCCUACAUGUCAGUAAUUUUGCCCAACUUUCCUGCUCCUCAGCUUGUGAUGGGCAAUCCUAUUUGAUGCCAACUGGGAAUAUAAGCAUUGCGCUGAACACCGCAGAAGCAGCAAUAAUCCAACAAGACUACCCAACUUCAGACAACAUGGUUAUCUAAGACAUAACAUGGAAGGUCCGAUAGCUUUUAUUUCACAUUAAAAGUUUCUUACAUUCACCUGCACAGCUGAAAUCUACUCAGCUGCCCUGCCUCACCCUGACACAAACUUGGUUUUAGGAAAAGUAAAUUUUAUUUGGAGUGAAAAGGAAGCACACGAAUACCACAAUAUAAUGUAUAGAAACAAAGUCAUUGUCAAAAAUCAGGAGUAGGAAUAUGUAAUUAUGGGUUAUGGCCAAAAAAAAUCAGAUUCUUUGUAUUAAAUCUUAACGGUUAUAAAUGAAAAUCAUUCUAGAUUGUUUUACAACACUAAUAAACCAAAUAUGUCAAUGUCAUAAGGUGAAUACUUAUUUUCCCUACAUCUAAGGCAAAUACAUGGAAUAUUCUUCAUGUUAUUUCUAGAGCAUCUUCAGUUUAUAAUUACAAAAUUGUUUGUGCUUUGUUAGCUCUCCAGAGAAAGAUCUUCUAUUAGUUAUGUAAAAAGGAAUUUAAAAGGGCAUCAAAAUGUUAGACUUCUCACCAAA